rnacentral:tRNA from 1 species
UGCCCGUUGGUCCAGUCGGCAGGACGCCGGACUCUGAUUCCGGAAGCCGAGGUUCGAAUCCUCCACGGGCAG